rnacentral:sRNA from 1 species
AAUGUCGGCGGUUCGAUCCCGUCAGCGCCCACCA